rnacentral:rRNA from 1 species
CGAUGAGUAGGGCGGGACACGUGGUAUCCUGUCUGAAUAUGGGGGGACCAUCCUCCAAGGCUAAAUACUCCUGACUGACCGAUAGUGAACCAGUACCGUGAGGGAAAGGCGAAAAGAACCCCGGCGAGGGGAGUGAAAAAGAACCUGAAACCGUGUACGUACAAGCAGUGGGAGCACCCUUUGGGGUGUGACUGCGUACCUUUUGUAUAAUGGGUCAGCGACUUAUAUUCUGUAGCAAGGUUAACCGUAUAGGGGAGCCGGAGGGAAACCGAGUCUUAACCGGGCGUUAAGUUGCAGGGUAUAGACCCGAAACCCGGUGAUCUAGCCAUGGGCAGGUUGAAGGUUGGGUAACACUAACUGGAGGACCGAACCGACUAAUGUUGAAAAAUUAGCGGAUGACCUGUGGCUGGGGGUGAAAGGCCAAUCAAACCGGGAGAUAGCUGGUUCUCCCCGAAAGCUAUUUAGGUAGCGCCUCGUGAAUUCAUCUCCGGGGGUAGAGCACUGUUUCGGCUAGGGGGCCAUCCCGGCUUACCAACCCGAUGCAAACUGCGAAUACCGGAGAAUGUUAUCACGGGAGACACACGGCGGGUGCUAACGUCCGUCGUGAAGAGGGAAACAACCCAGACCGCCAGCUAAGGUCCCAAAGUCAUGGUUAAGUGGGAAACGAUGUGGGAAGGCCCAGACAGCCAGGAUGUUGGCUUAGAAGCAGCCAUCAUUUAAAGAAAGCGUAAUAGCUCACUGGUCGAGUCGGCCUGCGCGGAAGAUGUAACGGGGCUAAACCAUGCACCGAAGCUGCGGCAGCGACACUCAGGUGUUGUUGGGUAGGGGAGCGUUCUGUAAGCCUGCGAAGGUGGCCUGUGAGGGUUGCUGGAGGUAUCAGAAGUGCGAAUGCUGACAUAAGUAACGAUAAAGCGGGUGAAAAGCCCGCUCGCCGGAAGACCAAGGGUUCCUGUCCAACGUUAAUCGGGGCAGGGUGAGUCGACCCCUAAGGCGAGGCCGAAAGGCGUAGUCGAUGGGAAACGGGUUAAUAUUCCCGUACUUGGUGUUACUGCGAAGGGGGGACGGAGAAGGCUAUGUUGGCCGGGCGACGGUU